GAUGAACGCUGGCGGCGUGCCUAAUACAUGCAAGUCGAGCGAACAGAUGAGGAGCUUGCUCCUCUGACGUUAGCGGCGGACGGGUGAGUAACACGUGGAUAACCUACCUAUAAGACUGGGAUAACUUCGGGAAACCGGAGCUAAUACCGGAUAAUAUAUUGAACCGCAUGGUUCAAUAGUGAAAGACGGUUUUGCUGUCACUUAUAGAUGGAUCCGCGCCGCAUUAGCUAGUUGGUAAGGUAACGGCUUACCAAGGCAACGAUGCGUAGCCGACCUGAGAGGGUGAUCGGCCACACUGGAGCUGAGACACGGUCCAGACUCCUACGGGAGGCAGCAGUAGGGAAUCUUCCGCAAUGGGCGAAAGCCUGACGGAGCAACGCCGCGUGAGUGAUGAAGGUCUUCGGAUCGUAAAACUGUGUUAUUAGGGAAGAACAAAUGUGUAAGUAACUAUGCACGUCUUGACGGUACCUAAUCGGAAAGCCACGGCUAACUACGAG
rnacentral:rRNA from 1 species